UUUCCUACGGGUGGCUGCAGUGAGGAAUAUUGGUCAAUGGACGAGAGUCUGAACCAGCCAAGUCGCGUGAAGGAAGAAGGUUCUAUGGAUUGUAAACUUCUUUUGUAAGGGAAUAAAAAAGAGUACGUGUACUCUAUUGUAUGUACUUUACGAAUAAGGAUCGGCUAACUCCGUGCCAGCAGCCGCGGUAAUACGGAGGAUCCGAGCGUUAUCCGGAUUUAUUGGGUUUAAAGGGUGCGUAGGCGGACUUAUAAGUCAGCGGUGAAAGUUUGCAGCUUAACUGUAAAAUUGCCGUUGAAACUGUUAGUCUUGAGUGUAAAUGAGGUAGGCGGAAUGUGUUGUGUAGCGGUGAAAUGCUUAGAUAUAACACAGAACACCAAUUGCGAAGGCAGCUUACUGGGAUACAACUGACGCUGAGGCACGAAAGCGUGGGGAUCAAACAGGAUUAGAUACCCCGGUAGUCUCU
rnacentral:rRNA from 1 species